UUAGUAGAGUCCCCAGUGGCCCCCUCUCCCUGUCAGCACCACCCUCUUUGGCUCCACAGGUCCACGAGGGCAAAUACCAGCUGGUGGGGCAGUGACUGUCCCGGAGCCUUGAGUUCCUGGAGAGCCCACAGACCUCCCUCAGGCAGCUGCCCUCAAUUUCAUAGGAUACACACUGAGAAACAUUGACGUGAGCCGCUUCCGUGAGGAGGACGUGCAGGUGAUCAGGACUGGGAAAGUCCUCAGGUCUGGUUUGUGGGGCCCUCUGCUGGCUGCAUGACCUUGAACAGAGGGCGGUCCAGGGGAGGUGCGUCCCUUGAACCUGGGACUGGCCCCUCGUAGGAUGAGACCCGUCCUCAUCUUCCUGCUGAGAGACCGCAGAUGCCCGAGGCCUGGAGAACCACACUGGCGACUCAGCUUCUGCAGAGGAAAGAAGGGGACCUGGUGCACCAAGUGAAGGAGGAGCAGGUGACGAGGACGAGAGAAGAAACCCGCAGCGGGUGCGUCAUGACAUGCAGCUCGGGUGUGCAGCCACGCACCUGGGUGGAUGAGGAUGAGGAUGGCCUGCAGGAAGGACGAGGAAUGGAGGCGAGACCCCUGUCCUCAGGUGCCGCCGUGUCUGGGCCCGCGUCCCGGGCUCUCCAGCCCCGGGGAGAAUGCCAGGGUCGCUCCGGCUGCUGCCCACCCUCCUGCUGAGGAAGGAGCUUCCGGCUCAUGGACUCUGCGGCUUCCCAGACCCAGCCUGGUCCCUAGUCGCUCCCCUGGCAGGCUGGGCCCUGGGGAGGCCCGUCCUGGGGGCGAGGCCUGGGCGGGCACUGUCGGGCCGUCCCUGUGUCGCCGGUGCUGGCGGGGGGUGUGGGGAGGCCGGGCAGAAGCGCCUGCCCUGCCAGUCUCGGGGGGCUGCUUCUCUUCCUCUCUGCAUUUCCAUCUGCACGCAGCGCUGGGACGCAUGUGUCGCCUGACACGUCUCAAAUUUAAACAUAUUUGGUUUGAUUCACUUAAGGCUUUUCUUUUCUGUUGAAAGAAGGUAUUUCCCUCUAUUUUCCUCUUUUCCAAGCCUUAGAGCAGUAGAGAGAAUAUUCAGCUCUGGCUCCUGCUCUCCCUUUGGGGAUGUGUGUGACGCAGCCCUCCCCCGACACCCACUGUCCCCAGACUGGCAGAAUCUUCCCCACGGUCACGACUGCAGUUGGACACACCCCGGGCUGGCCACCGUGUGCACGAAGUACACAGGAGUCCCUUUGGCAAGGACAUCCGGCUUGUCCCCCUCGGCUCUCGGCAGGGCCUGCGGGUGAACAAAGACAGGCAGAGCCUGGGGGCCGUGCAGCUUGUCCACACUGCCGUGUGCAGACGCGGAGAAGCAACACGCAGCCACCGAGCCCCCGGUGCAGCCUCAGGACGUCUGCAGAGAGCGGGGCACGGCUGGAUGGGACCAAGGAUCUGGGGCCACGUGGGCCAGGGACACGGGAAAUAAAGACCACACGUAUCUUGAAUGGGAGGGACGGCAGAGCAGACCCUGCUUCCGUCCUAAAGACCCUCUCCUUAGGAAAAGGAGCUCCUGCCUUCUGGGUCAGUGUCUAGUCCCCGUCCCUGGCUUGGAGAUGAUUUUAUCGGCUCCUUAUGGAGAACACGAGGGCAAAUCCCAGAGUUUCCUGAUGAGACCACAGUGGGCAGCACGUGGAAGAGCUGUAUCGCCCCAACCCCUGGUUUCAACAGGACAAACCCACUCUCGGCCCCACACACAGCCGCCGUCCUCUGUCUCUGCUCCCUGUGCCUGUGCCGCCUUCAGAGAAGAAGAGUGAAGCUGAGGGCAGACGCCAGAGGGAAGGAGGCAGGAGAAGCAGCUGCCUGCCCCUUCCACAACCAUGAGCACAGGGACGAGAUCCUGGCACAGGGGACGGACAGUGAGCAGCUGCUGGCCCUUGGGAAGGAGGCCUGGGCCUGUCCCUGUUGCGGUAGCUGGGGUGCCAUUCCAGCAGCCUGGGUGAGGACUCUGGAGGUUCGGGAAGUAGCUCUUGGCUCUGAGGACUAGGCCAUGGGGGGUUCUUCCUGAUGCCAUAAUUUGGGGGGAUGCCACCCCCGGUGGUUAGACUGGCAGCUGCAGCACAUGCAAAUGGCACCAAACCCAUUCGCCCCGGUGCUGGGUUGGAGGAGGCCGUGGAUCCCUUGGUGGCCCUGGGCUGCAGGGCCAACUGUUAUUGGGGACAGCAGAUAGCAGCCAGGAAAGAGUGUGCAUUCGUCACGAACCUCAGUCAGAGGAUGGCAGAAACUGAGAAGAGUGCGACAAGUGUGCCACAGAGCACAACUGCAUUUCCAAAUGGCUUUUCAACGUCUACCGCUGCCUGUGGCACAGGACAAUCCUGUCUUCUUUGAGCUCCCGUGUCCUUUGCCUGGCCACACUGUGACAGGGCCCAGGAAUGCACAGCUGGGGGCUGCUGGCGGGCUCAGGUCUGAAACCCCUGGUGAGUCAUGGCCCGAGGUCGCAGGUCCUUGGGGAGACUCCUAGAGGUGUAGGAGGGGGGAUUGCGCUCUGGGGCGGGUGAUGUGCCGAAGGGCAGGGGAGCGAGGAAGGGCCCAGGUGUGCUGCUGGGCCCCAGUGUCGCUGCUGUGGUGCAGACUGAGAGACGCUCAUGUCAGAGGUGCCUGCGGGAGGACUUGUGGGUGAAAUGCGUGGUAUCUUGAAUUUGUUUUAAAAUCCUCUCUCAAAAAAUGUGUAAGAGUUAGAUGAUGCAAUAUUAAUAAAAAUACUAAUAAAAAUGGUUAGAGCUUG